UCCCGUCAGGGGUUUUAGAGCGAUGAAGUCCGGAAGGAAGUAAAGCUCUUUUAACCCGAGACGAUAAUGACGGUACCGGAAGAAGAAGCCCCGGCUAACUUCGUGCCAGCAGCCGCGGUAAUACGAAGGGGGCAAGCGUUAUUCGGAAUUACUGGGCGUAAAGGGCACGUAGGCGGAUGGAACAGUCAGAGGUGAAAUCCCAGGGCUAAAACCUGGGAAGAGCAAAAGAAAAUGUCGGGAUAGAGUAUGGCAGAGGUGAGUAGAAUUCCAAGAGUAGCGGGGAAAU
rnacentral:rRNA from 1 species